UACACGUCCAGCAGUCGAGACCAAAAGCAGCGAAGCUGGAAUUCAGCCUUGUAAAUAUAUGGACAUGACUCUACGUAUUACCGAAAGUCGACAGAUACGACUGUGCCGUGCACCCACCCUAGAGUCUUGUGGUUUUAUAUCGACAUAUGCAUAUAUUAUCCAUUUGCUAGAAAAUCACUAUGAGUGUGGUUCUCAGGCUGCACUGGGCAUUGGGUUUUGCAGUUGCCUUUCUACGACUCCGCAGAUUCGUCUAGGGAGAUUCUUUGACACCCGCCUCUAUCUCCUCGGUUCGCCCGAUCCCACCUCUCCUUGCGUAUCGCACUGUGUCUCUGUACUCUGUGUGGCAGUUUCACCUUCUUUUUCAGCCUGUUGGAGGAUGUAUUUUGCCGGUCUGUCCUUGACGGAGCCGCCUGGGUUGAGGAAUUCACAUUUGGCAAAAAUAUCGCAGUGCGUCUCUAGACUUGCACGUCUCAAAUAGAUCAGAGGAGUCAUGCCCACGGCGUCGAGGAAAUUUUCACAAACCCGAAGGGCCGAGUUUCUUUCUUGUCUCUUUCCGGCUGCUGGAGCACAACGACUGAAGUCGGGUUUUCCUGGGGGCGAAGAGAGUGCGUUGUGCUCGUAGCUCAUCGUGCUCUCCUGUGCUUGCCGCAGCUGUUCAGAGACAUUUCUGUCAGACUCUUCGCCAUCUGUGGUCUGUUUCCCUGGUUGCGGCUGCGCAAACGACAGUUCGCGAGUCGAUGACGUGAGCGUUGACUUGUCCGAGAAGAAAAGGAGAUCUGUGCCGGGGCCGAAUCUGGAGUUGAGUGAGCCUGGAGUCGGUGCGAGAGGUUUCGCAAAGGCCGUGCCACUGGAAGGAAGAAGUCCACGUUUUGGUAAGGAUCCAAAUUCCCUCUCAGCCCGAGAAAGCCGAUGGAAGGGAUGGUUAUGGAACCCCCAACCCGGCAUUCGACUCGGGAAUGCGGCAGGAGUCGACGGUGGAAGCGAGCGGCUUCGCGGCGAAGACGCGCCGUGGAGGAGGCAUGCAGAGACCGACGCGUUGGACUGGAAAUUCGACGAAUGCAAACAUGCACGAGACCUCCGCGAGAGAGCGCCGGUCGGCGAAAACGAAGGACAGACUCGACAAAGCGACACCAUUGCGGUUGACAGGAAGAGGGAAGAAACAACGAUAUACGGCGCACGAUAUCUUGUGGAGCCGGCCAAGUACCACAGCCAGACCCUGUCAGUGGACAACGAAUUCAGAGGAAAGAUCUCGGCUAGACAGCGUACGACGAGGAGCGAACUGCGCCACAGACUGCAGGACGAACAAACUGAACGGAACAGCAAAACCUGUCCGUGUCGAUCCCCAAUUCUCUGUUGACUUCACUCAGUACCACGGGAAUGCCCAAAGGAAACAACGAGAAGGCAACUUCAAGAAGGAGUUGUCACAACCGUGUACGCACACGAACGAUCGAUAUUCGGAGCGGCCGCCCAGUAGGCGAAAAGAGGAAGACAGAUUGCGCCCGAAACAAGAGGAUAAAAACGCGGUUCUUAACCGAGCAUAUCCUGUCGACACGGUACGAGAGGCGGGCACGAUACUUUGCUGGAGAGAAAGAACGGCAAGUCUACUUCAUUGCGAAAAACAUGUUUCGAUCUGCGAUACGCGGGGGACUUGAAACAGCAACGCCAGGAGCAAAACACGAUGUGUCAGUCGAUAGCCGGUCCACAUCUGGGCGCUGAGUCGUAACAGAAAAGCGUAAAAAACGAGAAAGCGAAAAACGCUGUGCUCCGAGAAAGAAAACGUGUACGCGAUGCCGUUCAAAUGCACCAGGAGGCGAGUUGCAGGGAAGCGAACACGCGGAAAGUUACACCGAAAUGGGGCAUGUCAGUCGAAAGUAGGCGAACUGAAAGAACAAUGAGCAGAGAAUUCCUCGAGUCCCGAGGCGUCUAUCCGCCGCAAGAUUGGUGUUUUUCUGGGGAGUAUAUACUACCAGUUGGACUACUGCUUUAGAUCUUGAAUCUUUGUUUACCGGAUCCAAGUUCUAUUGUGUUAGCAGAGAGGAGUACAAUAUACGCUAUCUCGAAUACCUUUACAGCUGCUAAAAAAAGAGGAAAGGUGCCGCGUGGGCGUGUCAAAAUCAACUGGACUGAAAGUGAACCGUGAUACAAAUGGUAGGAGACUCGGAAUGAGAGGAGUUAUGAGGUUGACCACUGGUAAUCAACAUGCUGUCUAACAGGAAGAAAGCAUUUUUUAUGAACGUGUAAAAAGCCUAGAUGACUAGGCAGAACGGCUACAAGGGACGACGUGGAGCGCCCCUGAGCGUCCACAUGGUUAGCUCCUGCAUGGGUAUUUUUUCGUUGUGAGGCAAGAGUCAUGUAGAAGCGAAGAGAUACGGAGGGAUAGGGAAGCACAACUCGGGCGAAGAUAGAUAAUAGAGUUAGACAAAUUGGAACAGACCCGUCCGUAGACAGGUCGGCACACGCAGUUGCAUGUAGGUUUGUCCACAUCCAUUCGCCGAGACGCAGCUGUGCUUUGUGAGUACGCGGUCCUCGUCGGACGGCCGAGGGAACGCGCAAAAUCUGCUGGCCUGUCAGCUUUUUGCAUGUUUUCGUGUAACGUUAUGGACGAGUAAAGCGAUUUGUGGGCGUGCAUUGACGCAACUUUACCGCUCCAUCAUUUCUGAAAGCCUCAAGGCAUUCUCCACGC
rnacentral:lncRNA from 1 species